rnacentral:sRNA from 1 species
AUGACGAAAACAAUGAGGCGGAUU